rnacentral:rRNA from 1 species
AAAUUGAAGAGUUUGAUCAUGGCUCAGAUUGAACGCUGGCGGCAGGCCUAACACAUGCAAGUCGAGCGGUAGCACAGAGAGCUUGCUCUCGGGUGACGAGCGGCGGACGGGUGAGUAAUGUCUGGGAAACUGCCUGAUGGAGGGGGAUAACUACUGGAAACGGUAGCUAAUACCGCAUAACGUCGCAAGACCAAAGUGGGGGACCUUCGGGCCUCAUGCCAUCAGAUGUGCCCAGAUGGGAUUAGCUAGUAGGUGGGGUAACGGCUCACCUAGGCGACGAUCCCUAGCUGGUCUGAGAGGAUGACCAGCCACACUGGAACUGAGACACGGUCCAGACUCCUACGGGAGGCAGCAGUGGGGAAUAUUGCACAAUGGGCGCAAGCCUGAUGCAGCCAUGCCGCGUGUGUGAAGAAGGCCUUCGGGUUGUAAAGCACUUUCAGCGGGGAGGAAGGCGUUAAGGUUAAUAACCUUGGCGAUUGACGUUACCCGCAGAAGAAGCACCGGCUAACUCCGUGCCAGCAGCCGCGGUAAUACGGAGGGUGCAAGCGU